rnacentral:rRNA from 1 species
CCUACGGGUGACAGCAGUAGGGAAUAUUGCUCAAUGGGGGAAACCCUGAAGCAGCAACGCCGCGUGAAGGAUGAAGGUUUUCGGUUUGUAAACCCCUUUUGUUAGAGAAGAAAAUGACGGUAUCUAACGAAUAAGCACCGGCUAACUACGUGCCAGCAGCCGCGGUAAUACGGAGGGUGCAAGCGUUACUCGGAUUGACUGGGCGUAAAGAGCGCGUAGGCGGGAUAGCAAGUCAGAUGUGAAAUGCCAUGGCUUAACCAUAGAACUGCAUUUGAAACUGUUAUGCUAGAGUACGGGAGAGGUAGGUGGAAUUCUUGGUGUAGGGGUGAAAUGCGUAGAGAUGAGGAGGAAUACGGAUUGCGAAGGCGACCUGCUAGAACAUAACUGACGUUGAUGCUCGAAAGCGUGGGGAGCAAACAGGAUUAGAUACCCCAGUAGUC